AGAGCCCCCCCCGCCGCGCGCGCACGCCUGACGUCAGCGGCCAGCGUGAGUCACGCGCGCAGGGAGAGCGCGAGGCGGCCUCUCCCUCCCCCCUUCUUCCUCCGGCCCGGCCCAGACCGGUUCCAACCUGCUGGGACCGGCCCCAGCCGCCUCCAACUGCCACCAACCUCUGGUCGGGCCGCGGGGCGGGAAACUUGGUCCCAACCUCCGAGCAGGGAAGGCAGUAUCUCGGGAUGUGGCGUGCACACUUCUCAGGCUAGGCCUUCGAGGCCUGACUCUGAAAAUCACAGUACCAGGCGUCUUGGGGGCGCCAAGUCCACGACACGACCGAGACGAGUUCCUUCGGGUCAGCCCGAGAACCGCCUGUGAAUGGCGAUUUGCUGAAGUUCCGUUUUGAGGCCCCAUGCAGCGGGGUGUAGAAUUUGACAGCAGUUUCAAGAGCUGAGGAGGAGGUGAAGAUGGAAAGGAGUCUAGCAUCCUAAAAAUCUCAUAGUAUUGUGUGUGAGAGAGCCAUCAUAAUACCCCUUAUUGGAGGAAACAGAAAAAAGAAUUUAAUACAUCUGUAGUGGUCUCCACACAUUGCCAGCA